CUUGUACAUUAAGCUCAAAACACAGUUAUUAUGCUUUGCUCAACAUUGCAUUAAGGCAAAAUGAGCAAGUUAAACAAGGGGUUACUGGAAAAAAAUACACAUAGGCAUAGACAUACACUGUGAGUUGAAAAGUUUGCAUACGAUAUUACAAGGGACAAAAUAUCAACUAAGAAGAUAAAAUUCAAGGCUUCUCUUUUCAAGCUUUAAAAGAGAAUCUUCACAGCAAAAUUCUUCCUUCUCAUUUCAUCAGUACUUUCCUUGCCUUGCUUGCUGCUUCCAAGGCUCAGCGCAGAAACCUCAGAGCUCUUCAAUACACGAAGCCUCUUCACCAUUGACACAAACAUGUGCCAUGGCACAUCCCCAACAAGCAUCCUGUCUCCUUCAUUAUCCUCAUAAACAAGGGUAUAUUCCCCACUUCCAUCCAAUACGCCCAUAAACGCUUUCUCUUCCUCUUGCUCACUCAUGAUUCCACCAGCAGAGGAAUCUCUUUGAGCUGUUAGGAGGCCUCUGAAGAGUUCAUCAACAACAGUGGACAGUUUCUCAUAGCUGUCAUAGGCUGUAAGAUCUACUUUCCUUCCAAUGGGAACACCAUCCAUAUUGAUCUUUACAAACAUCCCUUUUUUGCAAGUUUCAACUGGUUUUUCACUAGCAA
rnacentral:misc_RNA from 1 species